GUCUUAACCGGGCGUUAAGUUGCAGGGUAUAGACCCGAAACCCGGUGAUCUAGCCAUGGGCAGGUUGAAGGUUGGGUAACACUAACUGGAGGACCGAACCGACUAAUGUUGAAAAAUUAGCGGAUGACCUGUGGCUGGGGGUGAAAGGCCAAUCAAACCGGGAGAUAGCUGGUUCUCCCCGAAAGCUAUUUAGGUAGCGCCUCGUGAAUUCAUCUCCGGGGGUAGAG
rnacentral:rRNA from 1 species